UACGGAGGAUCCGAGCGUUAUCCGGAUUUAUUGGGUUUAAAGGGUGCGCAGGCGGAAGAUUAAGUCGGUGGUGAAAUUUUGCAGCUCAACUGUAAAAGUGCCAUUGAUACUGGUUUUCUUGAGUGUGGAUGAAGUAGGCGGAAUUUGUGGUGUAGCGGUGAAAUGCAUAGAUAUCACGAGGAACUCCGAUUGCGCAGGCAGCUUACUAACCCAUAACUGACGCUCAGGCACGAAGGCGUGGGGAUCAAACAGGAUUAGAUA
rnacentral:rRNA from 1 species